rnacentral:rRNA from 1 species
UACAGAGGUCUCAAGCGUUGUUCGGAUUCAUUGGGGCGUAAAGGGUGUGUAGGUGGCGCCGUAAGUCGGGUGUGAAAUUUCGGAGCUUAACUCCGAAACUGCAUUCGAUACUGCGGUGCUUGAGGACUGGAGAGGAGACUGGAAAUUCAUGGUGUAGCAGUGAAAUGCGUAGAGAUCAUGAGGAAGACCAGUGGCGAAGGCGGGUCUCUGGACAGUUCCUGACACUGAGAACACGGAAGGCCAGGGGAGCAAACGGG